GUCGUUUACAUGGAUAUACAAAUUUUUUAUUUUAUAUAAUUAGAAUUGCCCUCGGCAUCCGGCCGAUUGUAGUCCCGCAACCAUUUUGGGAUACCGUCAUAUUGUUCGAAAGAGAUAGAAAACAAAGCAGAGCAGGUUUUGAUAGACUGGAAAGGAUUGUCAUCCUUAGAGCGUACUUGGGAAGAUCUGGGGUGGGUAGCUCACUUGAACCCCAACUCAAACCAUGAAGACAAGGUUCGCUCAGUAGGUGUAGGUGAUGUAAUAGUGUUGAUAGAUCAAUCUGCGGCAGAGUGAAUACUAGAAGUCGAACUCAACUUGGAAGCUAACUCGGCGGAUCAAAGCAACGAUGUGGAUCAAUCCGAUCCGCCGUGCCUGAGGAGAACCCAGAAGACCACUCAGAGUACAGACUACAUCUACGAGUGACGUGUGGUAACUAAUUAUUAGUAACAGACAGUUAGGUUGUCAUACGAGCCGAGUCGAGCUUUUGCUUAUAUAGUUAGGUUCGAGCUCGACUCGUUAAGGAAUUGUCC
rnacentral:lncRNA from 1 species